rnacentral:rRNA from 1 species
UAGCCGUAAACGAUACUCGCUAGGUGUCGGCCACGGUGCGACCGUUGUCGGUGCCGUAGGGAAGCCGUGAAGCGAGCCACCUGGGAAGUACGGCCGCAAGGCUGAAACUUAAAGGAAUUGGCGGGGGAGCACAACAACGGGUGGAGCUUGUGGUUUAAUUGGAUUCAACGCCGGAAAUCUUACCGGGACCGACAGCAACAUGAAGGCCAAGCUGAAGACUUUGCCGGAUUAGCUGAGAGGUGGUGCAUGGCGUAGUCGUGU